UGCAGGAGAAAAAAAGACACACCCACUCUUCCACCACUUCCACCCGAUGCCCAACCUCCCCCGAUCUCGCUGCCGCCCCCCGCUUCCCCUGCCUCCCGGCGCCGCCGCCCCCCGCUUACCCUGCCACACGGCGCCGCCGCCCCCCGCUUCCCCUGCAUCCAGGCGCCGCCGCCCUCCCGCUUCCCCUGCCCCAAGGCGCCGCUGACCCAACCUCCCGCGUGCCACCUGACUUCCUUCCCCCGCCGCCCCUUGCUCUGGUGGGCCUCCCACCGCUACCAACCGGCGUCGGAACCGUCCCUCGCCCUGGAUCGCACCGCCCUCACUGCCCACGAUGGGGAUCGCGCCACAGGCACCAUCCCACGAUGGGGAUCGAGCCGCAGGCACCGUCCCACGAUGGGGAUCGCGCCACUGCAAUCGCAUCGCCCCACCUCCCGUCGUCGGGAUCCUGCUGCCGCGCGACAACCACCGGGAUCCUCCCACCGCGGUCGCUACUCACGCCGCGCGCGUGUGGCAGUGGACGGACGCGAUGGUUUCCUUCGACAUGAACGACCGCAAAGAGUGGCUCGUCGGAUGCUGUUGCCGUGGAUGACGAUGAUCUCGUUCUCGAUAGGAGAAUGAAGAGACACAA